UGAUGUUGUCAUAUUAAUGGUUGGAUCUAACCAAAAUUUUUAGUGGAGAACCACAUGCUUGCUGAAGGGAUGCCUGGGGCAAAAUCUAAUUACUAAAAAUUAUUUGAAGAAAUAAUUUGUUAUGAAUCUACCCAUGGAUGCACUAGGAUUGGCUAAGCCAUACUCGAGCUUGAAUGCGGUCUGUGUGAAUUUUAGUAUUCGCUAAAAAAAUUAAAGUAAUUUCUC
rnacentral:lncRNA from 1 species